CGGAGAGUUCCCUUCGGGGACAUUGGUGACAGGUGGUGCAUGGUUGUCGUCAGCUCGUGUCGUGAGAUGUUGGGUUAAGUCCCGCAACGAGCGCAACCCUUGUCUUUAGUUGCCAUCAUUAAGUUGGGCACUCUAGAGAGACUGCCAGGGAUAACCUGGAGGAAGGUGGGGAUGACGUCAAAUCAUCAUGCCCCUUAUGCUUAGGGCUACACACGUGCUACAAUGGGUAGUACAGAGGGUUGCCAA
rnacentral:rRNA from 1 species